GACGAACGCUGGCGGCGUGCUUAACACAUGCAAGUCGAACGGAAAGGCCCUGCUUUUGUGGGGUGCUCGAGUGGCGAACGGGUGAGUAACACGUGAGUAACCUGCCCUUGUCUUUGGGAUAACUUCAGGAAACUGGGGCUAAUACCGGAUAGGAGCUCCUGCUGCAUGGUGGGGGUUGGAAAGUGUCGGCGGUUGGGGAUGGACUCGCGGCUUAUCAGCUUGUUGGUGGGGUAGUGGCUUACCAAGGCUUUGACGGGUAGCCGGCCUGGGAGGGUGACCGGCCACAUUGGGACUGAGAUACGGCCCAGACUCCUACGGGAGGCAGCAGUGGGGAAUAUUGCACAAUGGGCGGAAGCCUGAUGCAGCAACGCCGCGUGCGGGAUGACGGCCUUCGGGUUGUAAACCGCUUUCGCCUGUGACGAAGCGUGAGUGACGGUAAUGGGUAAAGAAGCACCGGCUAACUACGUG
rnacentral:rRNA from 1 species